UACGUAGGGUGCAGGCGUUAAUCGGAAUUACUGGGCGUAAAGCGCGCGCAGGCGGCCUUUUAAGUCUGAUGUGAAAGCCCACGGCUCAACCGUGGAAGGUCAUUGGAAACUGAAAGGCUUGAGUACAGAAGAGGAAAGCGGAAUUCCACGUGUAGCGGUGAAAUGCGUAGAGAUGUGGAGGAACACCAGUGGCGAAGGCGGCUUUCUGGUCUGUAACUGACGCUGAGGCGCGAAAGCGUGGGGAGCAAACAGG
rnacentral:rRNA from 1 species